rnacentral:rRNA from 1 species
CCUACGGGGGGCUGCAGUGGGGAAUAUUGGACAAUGGGGGGAACCCUGAUCCAGCCAUGCCGCGUGUGUGAAGAAGGCCCUCGGGUUGUAAAGCACUUUCAGUGAGGAAGAACGCCUGGUGGUUAAUACCCAUCAGGAAAGACAUCACUCACAGAAGAAGCACCGGCUAACUCCGUGCCAGCAGCCGCGGUAAUACGGAGGGUGCGAGCGUUAAUCGGAAUUACUGGGCGUAAAGCGCGCGUAGGUGGCUUGAUAAGCCGGUUGUGAAAGCCCCGGGCUCAACCUGGGAACGGCAUCCGGAACUGUCAAGCUAGAGUGCAGGAGAGGAAGGUAGAAUUCCCGGUGUAGCGGUGAAAUGCGUAGAGAUCGGGAGGAAUACCAGUGGCGAAGGUGGCCUUCUGGACUGACACUGACACUGAGGUGCGAAAGCGUGGGUAGCAAACAGGAUUAGAUACCCUGGUAGUC